rnacentral:rRNA from 1 species
AUUGAACGCUGGCGGCAGGCCUAACACAUGCAAGUCGAGCGGAUGAAGGGAGCUUGCUCCUGGAUUCAGCGGCGGACGGGUGAGUAAUUCCUAGGAAUCUGACUGGCAGUGAGGGAUAACGUACGGAAACGGGCGCUAAUACCGCAUCCGUCCUGAGAGAGAAAGUGGGGGAUCUUCAGACCUCACGCUAUCAGAUGAGCCUAGGUCGGAUUAGCUAGUUGGUGGGGUAAAGGCCUACCAAGGCGACGAUCCGUAACUGGUCUGAGAGGAUGAUCAGUCACACUGGAACUGAGACACGGUCCAGACUCCUACGGGAGGCAGCAGUGGGGAAUAUUGGACAAUGGGCGAAAGCCUGAUCCAGCCAUGCCGCGUGUGUGAAGAAGGUCUUCGGAUUGUAAAGCACUUUAAGUUGGGAGGAAGGGCAGUAAGUUAAUACCUUGCUGUUUUGACGUUACCAACAGAAUAAGCACCGGCUAACUUCGUG